rnacentral:rRNA from 1 species
AGAGUUUGAUCCUGGCUCAGAUUGAACGCUGGCGGAAUGCUUUACACAUGCAAGUCGAACGGCAGCACGGGGGCAACCCUGGUGGCGAGUGGCGAACGGGUGAGUAAUACAUCGGAACGUGCCCAGUCGUGGGGGAUAACGUAGCGAAAGCUACGCUAAUACCGCAUACGAUCUCUGGAUGAAAGCGGGGGACCGCAAGGCCUCGCGCGAUUGGAGCGGCCGAUGGCAGAUUAGGUAGUUGGUGGGGCAAAGGCUCACCAAGCCGACGAUCUGUAGCUGGUCUGAGAGGACGACCAGCCACACUGGGACUGAGACACGGCCCAGACUCCUACGGGAGGCAGCAGUGGGGAAUUUUGGACAAUGGGCGCAAGCCUGAUCCAGCCACUCCGCGUGCAGGAUGAAGGCCCUCGGGUUGUAAACUGCUUUUGUACGGAACGAAACGCGCUGAGUUAAUACCUCGGCGUAAUGACGGUACCGUAAGAAUAAGCACCGGCUAACUACGUGCCAGCAGCCGCGGUAAUACGUAGGGUGCAAGCGUUAAUCGGAAUUACUGGGCGUAAAGCGUGCGCAGGGCGGUGAUGUAAGACAGGUGUGAAAUCCCCCGGGCUUAACCUGGGAACUGCAUUUGUGACUGCAUCGCUGGAGUGCGGCAGAGGGGGAUGGAAUUCCGCGUGUAGCAGUGAAAUGCGUAGAUAUGCGGAGGAACACCGAUGGCGAAGGCAAUCCCCCUGGGCCUGCACUGACGCUCAUGCACGAAAGCGUGGGGGAGCAAACAGGAUUAGAUACCCUGGUAGUCCACG